rnacentral:misc_RNA from 1 species
CCCAAAAAUGUCUUCACCGUCACCACCGCCGCCGGAAGUGGUGGUGAAGAAUCGAUUUUUAGGGUUUCUGAUAUGGCAAUCCAUUACCUCUUCCGCCAUCUUCAUCCUCUUCAAAACCUUACUUCUCUCACCGCUCACCAACACUAAUUUAGCAUCACCGUCACUCCUCUCCCUUUUUGCUUUCUUAAUUUUUCACCUCUCCCAGCUCUUCUUCUCUGCUUCACUCGCUCUACUCUCAUCUCCUCAGCCCUAUUCCCUUGCUUCCCCAUUGCAGCUCGCCGUCUCCCUCCUCCGUUUCCUUUUCGUCUCCGAUGACCUUUUCUCGUCCCGUGAUUUCCACCACCAG